UACGUAGGGUGCGAGCGUUGUCCGGAAUUAUUGGGCGUAAAGAGCUCGUAGGCGGUGUGUCACGUCGGCCGUGAAAACCUGCAGCUUAACUGUGGGCGUGCGGUCGAUACGGGCAUCACUGGAGUUCGGCAGGGGAGACUGGAAUUCCUGGUGUAGCGGUGAAAUGCGCAGAUAUCAGGAGGAACACCGGUGGCGAAGGCGGUUCUCUGGGCCUUACCUGACGCUGAGGAGCGAAAGCGUGGGGAGCAAACAGG
rnacentral:rRNA from 1 species